CACACACACAAACACCCUUCAUACAGCAUACUGUGUUAACACACACACACACACACACUUUAUACAGCACACAGACACACACAUACAGUUUGUACAGCACACGCAGACACACAUAUACACUCCGCACAACACACACAACACACACACACACACUGUGGAGUUUGGGUGGCCACACACACAGGCCUGAGAGUGCGGAUACCAAAUGGCGGAUCUCAGGAAUCUAUCGUGACUGACGAGUGUGUGUGAGAGUGAGUGCAUGUGUGAGUGUGUGCAUGUGUGUGAGGCCAUCUUGUGUGUGAGCGAGGAGGAUCCCUCUACAGGAACCAAUCUGCAGGUAUGGCUGUAACUGUGCUGAGUCUCCUGGUGGGCGGGAUUUUUCUCCUGUCAAUCGUUCUGUUGAUUGGUCUGUGUCUGAGCUGCCGAAGACAUCCCAAUUACUUCAUUCAAGAACAAGACUACAUUCCCAGUCAAGGUCUCAGCAGCGACUUUAUGGUUCACAGACAGA